UCAUUUGGAAUCUUGUUUAAAAUGAAGAUUCUAACUAUGGGUAGAGUUGGAAUGCUGCAUUUCUAACAAGUUCCCAGGUGAU
rnacentral:miRNA from 1 species